rnacentral:rRNA from 1 species
AAUGGGCGCAAGCCUGAUCCAGCCAUACCGCGUGUGUGAAGAAGGCCUUCGGGUUGUAAAGCACUUUAAGCAGGGAGAAAAAGUUAUAAGUUAAUACCUUAUAACCGUGAUGUUACCUGCAGAAUAAGCACCGGCUAAUUCCGUGCCAGCAGCCGCGGUAAUACGGAAGGUGCAAGCGUUAAUCGGAAUUACUGGGCGUAAAGCGCGCGUAGGUGGUUUGUUAAGUUGGAUGUGAAAGCCCUGGGCUCAACCUAGGAACUGCAUCCAAAACUAACUCACUAGAGUACGAUAGAGGGAGGUAGAAUUCAUAGUGUAGCGGUGGAAUGCGUAGAUAUUAUGAAGAAUACCAGUGGCGAAGGCGGCCUCCUGGAUCUGCACUGACACUGAGGUGCGAAAGCGUGGGUAGCGAACAGGAUU